CGCCACUGAUGAUAAACCUUUCUGACACCUCAUAUGAGAGCUAAGCUCCUGAUUCUAAAGCUGUUCUGAGGCUC